rnacentral:rRNA from 1 species
CUCCGGUUGAUCCUGCCGGACCUGACUGCUAUCGGAUUGGUACUAAGCCAUGCGAGUCGUUGUAGCAAUACAAGGCGGACGGCUCAGUAACACGUAGUCAACCUAACCUAUGGACGUGGAUAACCUCGGGAAACUGAGAAUAAACCGCGAUAGAUCAUUAUGCCUGGAAUGGCUUAUGGUUCAAACAAUUUAUUGCCGUAGGAUGGGACUGCGGCCUAUCAGCUUGUUGGUGAGGUAAUGGCCCACCAAGGCUAUAACAGGUACGGGCUCUGAGAGGAGAAGCCCGGAGAUGGGUACUGAGACACGGACCCAGGCCCUAUGGGGCGCAGCAGGCGAGAAACCUUAGCAAUGUGCGAAAGCACGACUAGGUUAAUCCGAGUGAUUUCUGUUGAAGAAAUCUUUUGUCAGUCGUAAAACCACAGACGAAUAAGGGGUGGGCAAGUCUGGUGUCAGCCGCCGCGGUAAUACCAGCACCUCGAGUGGUCAGGAGGUUUAUUGGGCCUAAAGCAUCCGUAGCCGGCUACGCAAGUCUCCGGUUAAAUCCAGCUGCUCAACAGAUGGGCUGCCGGAGAUACUACAUAGCUAGGGAGCGGGAGAGGUAGACGGUAUUCUGUGGGUAGGGGUAAAAUCCACUGAUCCAUAGAGGACCACCAGUGGCGAAGGCGGUCUACCAGAACGCGUUCGACGGUGAGGGAUGAAAGCUGGGGGAGCAAACCGGAUUAGAUACCCGGGUAGUCCCAGCUGUAAACGAUGCAAACUCGGUGAUGCAUUGGCUUAUGGCCAAUGCAGUGCCGCAGGGAAGCCGUUAAGUUUGCCGCCUGGGAAGUACGGACGCAAGUCUGAAACUUUAAAGGAAUUGGCGGGGGAGCA